CUCGUAGGCGGCUCAGUAAGUCGGGUGUGAAAACUCCAGGCUCAACCUGGAGACGCCACCCGAUACUGCUGUGGCUAGAGUCCGGUAGGGGAGCAUGGAGUUCCUGGUGUAGCGGUGAAAUGCGCAGAUAUCAGGAGGAACACCAGUGGCGAAGGCGGUGCUCUGGGCCGGAACUGACGCUGAGGAGCGAAAGCGUGGGGAGCAAACA
rnacentral:rRNA from 1 species